UACGUAGGGUGCAAGCGUUGUCCGGAUUUAUUGGGCGUAAAGAGCUCGUAGGCGGUCUGUCGCGUCGGAUGUGAAAACCCAGGGCUCAACCCUGGGCCUGCAUUCGAUACGGGCAGACUAGAGUAUGGCAGGGGAGACUGGAAUUCCUGGUGUAGCGGUGAAAUGCGCAGAUAUCAGGAGGAACACCGGUGGCGAAGGCGGGUCUCUGGGCCAAAACUGACACUGAGGAGCGAAAGCGUGGGGAGCGAACAGG
rnacentral:rRNA from 1 species